UGGGGAAUAUUGCACAAUGGGCGCAAGCCUGAUGCAGCCAUGCCGCGUGUGUGAAGAAGGCCUUCGGGUUGUAAAGCACUUUCAGCGGGGAGGAAGGCGUUAAGGUUAAUAACCUUGGCGAUUGACGUUACCCGCAGAAGAAGCACCGGCUAACUCCGUGCCAGCAGCCGCGGUAAUACGGAGGGUGCAAGCGUUAAUCGGAAUUACUGGGCGUAAAGCGCACGCAGGCGGUCUGUCAAGUCGGAUGUGAAAUCCCCGGGCUCAACCUGGGAACUGCAUUCGAAACUGGCAGGCUAGAGUCUUGUAGAGGGGGGUAGAAUUCCAGGUGUAGCGGUGAAAUGCGUAGAGAUCUGGAGGAAUACCGGUGGCGAAGGCGGCCCCUGGACAAAGACUGACGCUCAGGUGCGAAAGCGUGGGGAGCAAACAGG
rnacentral:rRNA from 1 species